GUCAUAUAUAAUUGAUGCAAUUUAAUUUUAAUUUCCUAAUCAGGAGUAAUUUCAGAAAAUAAAAAUUCGAUUUUGAAUAUGGAUCAUAUCAUUUAAUUUUGACAAGAAAUUUUUAUUAAAAUUUUUUGUGAAGAAAUAGAUUAUUGAUAAGAUUGAAUAUUAAGUAUUAAUUAGUUCGAUUGCUAAAAUUAUACAGAUGCAAUUGUUUUAUAUUGUCAUACGUUGGCAAUUAAGUAUUUCACAUAUUCUUUUAAUUAAUUUUAUUGUUGGCUUGAAGACAACCUCAGGAAUUUCAUCAAUCCAAAUAUGUUCUAAACUUGACUCACGCACAUGAAUGUCUAUUACUUGAUCACACCAAUAUUAACUAAUUAUAAGCUGAAUAUUUACCAUUUAGGCUUUGUAUUUCACAUAUGCACUGGAUGUUUUUCUUUUCAUUUUUCAAUUCUUUUUUUCAAUUUUUAUGAGAGGGACUGAUUUGUUGAUAGCGUCAAAGAACCAUUCCAUCCAAAAAUAAAAUUGUCCAGUGAAAUUUGAUGUAUAAUUUUUUAUAUCUCUAAUGGACGUAAUGUAAUAUCAAGAGGUUUUAAUUUAUUUUUUAAAAUUUCAAUAAUAAUUUUAUAUCUCUAACAGAUAAAAUUUCAAGAUUUAAAAAAUAAUUUUAUAUCUUUAAUAGAGAGAAUGAGACUUUAGGUCAUUUUUCUAGAUUUUAAAAUAAUUGUAUAAGAGACAAAAUGUAACAUAAAGAGGCAUUGUUCACUUUUCAAUAGAGGGGAUUAUAAUUGUUAAUAUUGCCACAGUGGCAGAAUAGGAAAUGGGAUGAGAAUGUGUCCUUACCAGGAUGAGGACUGGUUUCAAACGACCUAAGAGGAGGGUAAAUUCAAAUAUGGAGGGUGGCUUAGGAGCUCGUUGAAUCCCGGAAUAGGUAAGGAAUUGAGGUAUGCAAGGCAGGAAGGGUUGGCUCCACAUUCUCUUAUAGAGCUCUAUUUGAAAUGGAGAUCCCAGGUGGUAUUUUUGUCUGAAACGAAGCAACAAAGAAGAUUUCUGGAUAAAGUCAAGCGAAGGCUAGGCUUUGGAGAUGGUUGGUACGUGGAACCUCAUGGUAUUAGCGGGGGUCUUGCUCUCUGGUGGCACAACAGUGUGUCUGUAAAGGUGCUGCUGAUACACCCCAGAUGCAGUGGACCCCCCCUAAUGUUGGAUUCAUUAAGCUGAAAACCGACGCGGCCUUUGAUGCUAAGAGGUGCAUAGCAAGGAUAGCCAUAGUUGCUCAAGAUCAUGUGGAAAUCUCGUGGAUGGAUACUGUAAAAUUGUGGAGGCAGCAUCUCCUUUGGUUGCAGAAGCUUUGGCGCUUCUUGAAGCAGCCCUUUUUGCGCAGUCUAGGAAAUUCUCGAAAUAUAUUUUUGAAACUGAUAGCUUAGUUAUUGCUAACUCCUUUAUAGAGGGAGCCAUCGUUUGUUAGGAGAUUGAUGCUAUUAUCUCCUCUAUCUUGGAUUUGUUUAAGCUGCUUUCGUCGCAUGCAAUUACGCAUACUAAUAUACACUGUAACCAGGUGGCGGAUUGGGUGGCUUCGGAAACUCUUAUAGGGUCCCUGUCGAGUUGUUGGAUCGCCACCUGUUCUGAUCCUCUUUUGGCUCUCCUUUGAACUUGGUUAAUGAAUUCCUUGUUUGUUCAAAAA